CAAGACACUGAAUGUCAUCCUCCCUCCCUGCUCUCUCUUCGCUGGCUUCUCUGGUCCUCUCUCCCUCAUUUCUCCAAUCCUCUGCUGCGGCGACGGGUACCCGACUUGGAGGCCUCGUCGGCGGGAACGAGGGCCGACAGCGGUGGUUGCAUGGCUAGGGCGGAGGGAACCAGGGGCGACCAGGCGGGUGUGGUGGCUCGUGGUCGCGGCGACGACGGCAUGCAGACCGGCGCGGCGACGGUGGGAACAUGGGGCGGGUGCGGUGGCAUCGGCUCGUAGGCCGGCGCGGCGGCAAGAAGCAGGAAGGGAAGCGACGGAAAUCAGGUAGCCGGUUCCUGUUCACUCCGAUUUGGCCUCCUUCCCCCAUCCGAUUUGGCCUCCUUUCUCUCCAGUUUUGCAAGGUGAGAAGAAUUGUGCUAAAUAUGCUGCUUUUACUCCGAUUUUGACCAGGAGAGUUAUUGUUUAUUCAAGAUGAUUACAGAAGAUCACGUAUAGCCUACGAAUCAUGUCUUGCCUUCUAUGAUUCUAACCUGAAUUAAGUGUGAUACGAGUUUGGUGAUUCUGAAUUCUGAUUAUAUGGAAUUGCAUAGAGGUGGGAAUUGCGCCGGAGGUGGAGAUAUUGUUCCUCGCGGUCUGUAAUUUCUGCAUUCUGUAAUGUUAGAGAUGGGAACUACUAGAGGAGCACAUGUUUGAGGUUGUAGAGGUUGAUCUCCCGCUGGACUAUCAACCCGCGAGAACAUAGAGAACCAUCAACAAAUUGGAUUAUGGAUUGUUGAGUGUGAUAAAAGGAAACCAUGGUAUGCUCAUGAGUUUCUACAACAAAUGUCUCGGACCAUUAGUCUGGUGGGUUUAAUAGACUUCUUCAGACUUUCUUUGGAGGUGCUUGAGUUUCUGCGAGCUUGAGGGUUUGUAUAACAGGGAAGUCAAGUUCAAAUUAAGAAGCACAACAUGUUGGCACAUAUAGUUUACUUGGUACCAUGUAUGUAGUUUGACUUUGUUCAAACGAUUACUCUUUACAUAGCAGGGAUAGUAUAUUAAGAAGCGGACAUCAAAAAAGCUGCUGAGAUUAAAGCUAGGUAAAUGACCCCCUCUAUGACCAACAUUCAGACAUUUGCCCAUGUCUAAUAUUCUUCGUCUUCGAAAGAUGCAAUGAAGUAUUUUUCUGUUGUCAAGUAGAUUUGUAGGGAUUAUAAGCUCUAGGAGUAAAAAUCAUUAUGCCUGGCUGCUCCUGCAACAUCUGCUCACACGCAGGUAACUGGUGGUGUACAUGGCAACAGAGUUCAUGUCGAUGCUCAGAUUGUGGAUUGGAGAUCCAUCUCGGCGGUGUGAUUAGUUUUUUUUCUUGUGGUCUCCUGCGUCUACCAAGGACCUGGUGCCUGGUGUGGCAGCCUCAACUUUCCCCGGUGGAUUUGGGUGCCAUUUUUUUUAAACAAGUUCUACAUAUUUGUAAUUCGCUUUUUUUUCCUUUCUAGGCAUUUCAAUCACUUCUAUGAUUUCUGAUUUUUUUCUUAAUUUUUCAUCUUUCUGCCUUGUAGUACGGAGUACUAUUUUUCUUUUCAUACUUAUUGAUCUUUCUGAGUUAACACCGUGAGCCAACUUCAGGAAGGAGCCGUCAAGGACCGUGAUCGUCAAAGCCGAACGUGCAUAGACCAAUGAUAUUGCAUUAGGAUAUGCUGUGAAUUUCACCGCUAACUUGGUUAGGCCGGCGCCGGCUGAGCAGGUGGAACCUAUAGGCCAUGGCCAUCAGCAAGGUGGUUUGCCAGAGAAGCGUAGACGAUCAUGUAUCGAAUACACGGUUGCCGGUAACAAGGCCGAUUCCUUAUGUUUCUUGGCAUUGUUAUUGUACGGUGCAAUCUAUUAGGUAUCUUACUUCGUUCAUGGUAAAGAAAUUGGUGAAUAAAUUCAGUUACAAGUCUGAAGUGGUGAACAUACUGGCAUGGAAUAACCAUUUGAUGAGAAAGGCUGAGAUGGAGAUCAAGAAACUUGAGGAAUAUAUAUGGUUCCCACAAUUCUA